rnacentral:misc_RNA from 1 species
ACCUCCUUUCUACGGAGUACAAUUGAAGUUAUCCAUACUUCAUAAAUAGUUAAUGGCCCAAUAUUCGUAUCCAGUUUUGAGAGAACUAUCUCUCAUUUAUUCUUUGAAAACUGAAUUAGACAUUGAAAAUUAAAAUAUUAAUAUUCAAAAAUUUAGAUCAACCUAUAGAAUAUUCAAAAAUAUAGAGACAAAUACAAAAACAAAACAAUAGGUCAAAAAUACUUAUACGUAAUUAAAAUAUAUAACUAUUAAAUAAGCAAGAGUUUUUGGUGGAUGCCUUGGGUCUGGAAGUCGAUGAAGGACGUGAUUACCUGCGAUAAGCUUCGUUUAGCUGGAAAUGAGCAUUUAGACGGAGAUUUCCGAAUGGGGAAACCUAAUUAGGGUAAUGCCUAAUUGUCAUAAUCGGUGAAUCCAUAGCCGAAUGACGAGACACGCUGUGAAUUGAAACAUCUCAGUAGCAGCAGGAAGAGAAAAUAAAGAAUGGUUCCCCUAGUAGUGGCGAGCGAACGGGGAAAAGCCUAAACCAACACUUGUU